UACGGAGGGUGCGAGCGUUGUCCGGAAUCACUGGGCGUAAAGGGCGCGUAGGCGGCUGAGGCAGUCGGUGGUGAAAGCUCGUGGCUCAACUGCGAGUCGGCCAUCGAUACUCCUCGGCUCGAGCACUGUAGAGGCAGGUGGAAUUCCGGGUGUAGCGGUGGGAAUGCGUAGAGAUCCGGAAGAACACCGGUGGCGAAGGCGGCCUGCUGGGCAGUGAGCUGACGCUGAGGCGCGACACGUGGGGGAGCAAACAG
rnacentral:rRNA from 1 species